GCUUGUCUCAAAGAUUAAGCCAUGCAUGUCUAAGUACAAGCCUCAGUAAGGUGAAACCGCGAAUGGCUCAUUAAAUCACACCUAAUCUACUGGAAAGUUACUAGUUACUUGGAUAACUGAGGUAAUUCUUGAGCUAAUACAUGCGAAAAAUCUCGACUCACGGAGAGAUGCUUUUAUUAGAUCAAAACCAAACGGCUUCGGCCGUCUCAUUGGUGACUCUGAAUAACUUUGGGCUGAUCGCACGGUCUUAGUGCCGGCGACGUAUCUUUCAAGUGUCUGCCUUAUCAACUGUCGAUGGUAGGUUACGCGCCUACCAUGGUCGUAACGGGUAACGGGGGAUCAGGGUUCGAUUCCGGAGAGGGAGCCUGAGAAACGGCUACCACAUCCAAGGAAGGCAGCAGG
rnacentral:rRNA from 1 species